ACCUUGUCCGGGACACUCCUCAAAACAAGAACCACAGUGGUGAGGAUCGUUUUGAAUAUCCACACAUCUUCCAUUGCAGCAUACAAAUCCAUAGGCACAUGUUUGUCCACAUAACCCACAAUUGUUGGGAUCCUUCAAGGUAUCUUUGCACAAUUGCUGGAAACAACAAGUGGUGCCACCCCAUGGGUUCUUCUCGCGAUCCAAACACACACUGGGAUCAUUGGCACAUGACAGAACUCUCUGCCUUCCCUGUAAUUUAUAAAGGAAAAAAUUCAGGUGUGUUGGAGCAUCGGAUUCCUGCAUACCCAAUCGACGAACAGCAAAAACCCCAUGAGAAGUUCCAAUCAACAGAAAGAGGAUGAGAGGCCAGAAGUGAUAUGUAACAGAUAGCAUGGAUAUUUACUUUGCAUCGUUG
rnacentral:misc_RNA from 1 species